GCCUUAUCGUGAAUUUUCAUUUCGUGUGGAAUGAUUCACAUUUCGCCUAUGCCGUUCACCUAUGCUAUUUUGAAUAUUCACCAUGCGAAACAGUUCGCUUCGAAUUAUUUCCACCCUAUCGUGAACGGCAUCAACGGCGAAAUAAUUGUCAAAUUAUUGGUGAAAUUUUUCGUUAAAAUUUUGUGCGCGAAAUAUAUUUGAAUCAUGUCAAAAUCGAUUAAUAAAACGCAAUCUGAAAUUUUGCUCAGUAAAAUGGCAGAAAAUCCUGAUUUAGCGGCUGGCUUCUCUAAACAAGGAAAAGACAGACAAGAAGCGUUAUGGAAGGAAACGGCCGCGGAUUUGAACAGUGCUGGGCCUCCGACUAAAACGGUGUCUGAGUGGAAAAGGGUUUGGAAUGACCAAAAGCGUUACGUACGCAAAAAGUUGACGUUUAAUGCGGAACAAAUUAGAGGCACUGGUGGGGGACCAAACCUGCAUCAUAAACUGUCAACAUCGGAGGAAACUAUUGUAGCAAUCACUGGCAUGACAAAUAG